rnacentral:rRNA from 1 species
CAGUAGCCGCGGUAAUACGGAGGAUCCAAGCGUUAUCCGGAAUCAUUGGGUUUAAAGGGUCCGUAGGCGGUCUUGUAAGUCAGUGGUGAAAGCCCAUCGCUCAACGGUGGAACGGCCAUUGAUACUGCAGGACUUGAAUUAUUGGGAAGUAACUAGAAUAUGUAGUGUAGCGGUGAAAUGCUUAGAGAUUACAUGGAAUACCAAUUGCGAAGGCAGGUUACUACCAAUUGAUUGACGCUGAUGGACGAAAGCGUGGGUAGCGAACAGGAUUAGAUACCCCUGUAGUCCCUGUCUCUUAUAA